UAAAACAAAACCAGUAUCAAAAACAAAGCCAAAUCAAACAAAACCAGUAUUAAACAUAACACCAAGCAUACAAGUACAACUAAACCAUACCAAUAUCAAACACAAAACCAAACCAAACCAGUGUCAAACCAAUACUAAGCCAAACCAUACCAGUAUCAAACACAAAACCAGUGUCAAACACAAUACUAAGCCAGACCAAACCAGUAUCAAACACAAAACCAAACCAUGAACCAGUAUCAAACACAAAACUAAACCAGCAUCAAACCUCAGAAUACAUAUACUAUAGAAUAACAGGUGGCACCUGUAUUGGUAUGACAUUGUAAACAUGUAUUGGUAUGUUAUUGUGUACAUGUAGUACACUGUUCUUGGAGGGAUUUGUUUUGAUCAGUUACAUGAUUUCUCAGUAUAAACAAGCAUGAGGAUUGUUUAGUGUUAAAUUGUUACACUGAUCCAACAUAUAAGAUAAGAUUUCAUUCUUUUUCUAAAGAUGAAAAGUUAAAAAAAAAAACGUGGAGUAACUUCACAGGAAAGCCAGGUUUCUGGACUCCGACAAAAUUUAGUGUUGUCUGUGCAAAACAUGUUGAAAACAAAUAUGUUUCUGGACGAAAGUUAAGUUAUAAUGCUUUUCCCAGUCUCCAUCUUCCCCACCAACCACAUCAACAGGAACAGCUAGAUAAUGGAGAGGACAUUCUUCUGAGUCAUGAAUAGACUUCAACUGUUCCCUCUCGGAGUAAUUCUGCUCUUCCUCAGAGAAGUUCUGCUCUUCCUCAGAGAAGUUCUUUUCUACCUCAAUGUAGCUCUUUUCCUCCUGAGCCAGACAUUGCAAGAAAAAAAUUUGAAGAACAGACAACAGAAGAAUUUUACACCUCUAGCUUUGAAGAAAUUCCAGAAAAUGGAUUAAUUGCUGUCGCAAUUAUCCAGCAAUACAAAAAAGGAAGAAUUAAGCUGUCUAACUACAGAAAUGAAAAGUACAGCUUUGAGUUGACGAAAUUUUCUCUAACUCUUCAAGAAUAUUCAAAAAAGCUUACAACUAUGUCAGAGAAACCAAUUCUGGAAUCAGGCACAAAAAUACUAAGCUAAUACUGUUUAAAAAUGAAUAGCUUUCAAAUUAUCCAUUUUAAAUAGCUAAUGAAAUAAAUAAUUGAAAAAA